rnacentral:lncRNA from 1 species
CCUGUAAUCCCAGCACUUUUUGAGGCUAAGGUGGAUGGAUGCUUUAGUCCAAGAGUUCGAGACCAGCCUGGGCAACAUGAUGAAACCCCAUCUCUACAAAAAAUCCAAAAAAAUUAGCCGGGUGCAGUGGUGAAUGCCUGUGGUCCCAGCUAUUCAGGAGGCUGAGGUGGGAGGAUCACCUGAGCUCAGGUAGUGGAGGUUGCAGUGAGCUGAGAUUGUACCACUGUACUACUUCAGCCUGGGCUACAGAGUGAGACCCUGUCUCAAAAAAAAAAAAAAAAGAAAAGAAAAUGGGGGAAUUUCCUCUUCCUAAUAAGCCUGGGAGCGCUAUGGGAGACUGGAGCCAUUCUGGCCUAAGCUUUAAUGAGGAACAGUCAUUUUAAAUGUUAUCAAAAUGUUUGUCUCUCGUAAAAUACUGUUGUUAUAACUAUACAACC